rnacentral:tRNA from 1 species
AAGGCUUUAGCUUAAUUAAAGUGUCUGCUUUGCAUGCAGAAGUUGUGGGUUAGUAUCCUGCAAGUCUUA